AGAUGCAGUGGUACACACCUAUAAUUCCUGCUGCUGGGAAACUGAAGUGGGUGGCUUACUUGAGCUUUUUGGGAGUUCUGACUCAUGGUAGGCUAAGCUGAUUGGAUGUUUGCACCACAUCUGGCACUAACAUGGUAAACCCUUGGGAUGGGGGGGGCACCAGGCUGCCCAAGGAGGGGAAAAGUGGUCCAGGUUGGAAAUGGAGCAGAUCAGUGCCUCCAUGUCAACCAGCAGUGAGACUGGGCAUCUUGAGUGGCCAAUGUACUUCCAACCUGGAUGAUAUAGGGAGACCCAAUCUCAA
rnacentral:SRP_RNA from 1 species